CGGACGGGUGAGUAACGCGUGAGAAUGUACCUUCAGGAUGGGGAUAACAAUAGGAAACUAAUGCUAAGACCCAAUGUGCCUUAAGAGGUGAAAAAUGAAAAUUGCCUGAAGAAGAGCUCGCGUCUGAUUAGCUAGUUGGGGUGGUAAAAGCGCACCAAGGCAACGAUCAGUAGCUGGUCUGAGAGGAUGAGCAGCCACACUGGGACUGAGACACGGCCCAGACUCCUACGGGAGGCAGCAGUGGGGAAUUUUCCGCAAUGGGCGAAAGCCUGACGGAGCAAUACCGCGUGAGGGAGGAAGGCUCUUGGGUUGUAAACCUCAAAAAUUAGGGAAGAAAAAAAUGACGGUACCUAACAUAAGCAUCGGCUAACUCCGUGCCAGCAGCCGCGGUAAUACGGAGGAUGCAAGCGUUAUCCGGAAUCAUUGGGCGUAAAGAGUCCGUAGGUGGCCAAGAAAGUCCAAGGUCAAAGACCAGAGCUUAACUCUGGAAAGGCAGUGGAAACUAAAGAGCUAGAGUUCGGGAGGGGUAGAGGGAAUUCCCAGUGUAGCGGUGAAAUGCGUAGAGAUUGGGAAGAACACCAGUGGCGAAGGCGCUCUACUGGACCGAAACUGACACUGAGGGACGAAAGCUAAGGUAGCGAAUGGGAUUAGAUACCCCAGUAGUC
rnacentral:rRNA from 1 species